AGGAUGAACGCUGGCGGCGUGCUUAACACAUGCAAGUCACGGGGGCCCAGCAAUGGGCAACCGGCGAACGGGUGCGUAACACGUGAGCAACCUACCGAAUUGUGGGGGAUAGCCGGCCCAACGGCCGGGUAAUACCGCAUACGCUCGAGACGAGGCAUUUCGACUCGAGGAAACCUCCGGGGCAAUUUGAGGGGCUCGCGGCCUAUCAGCUAGUUGGUGAGGUAACGGCUCACCAAGGCGACGACGGGUA
rnacentral:rRNA from 1 species